rnacentral:sRNA from 1 species
GUCAGUGGCUGUAUGACUGUGCAUAAAUUGGGAAACUGGAAUUUUGACUACUUACUAUUGGCAAUCCGAAGAGAACUUUUAAUAUGAGCGAUCGCCAAAUUCAAAAAGCAUCCUUAUUCGUGAUAAAUCAGCGCAUGUUGUAUUUGCUCAAAGUGUUAAAGGAAACUAUAAACGUUUACAAAUCCGAUCUGAACUUGAAUUUGGAUUGGAAAGAAAACAAGCAUAGACGAAUUAGGCUAUUGAAGUUUUUUCGGUAUUCUUGGCAGCGAAGAGCACCCUUAUUCGUAAUAAAGCAGCGCAUUAGGUAUUUGAUCAAAAUGUUAAAGAGAAUUAUGAACGUUUACAAAUCCGAUCUGAAAUUGAAUUUGGACUGGAAAGAAAACACGCUUGUUAAGCCGAUGUUACACGAUCUUAUCGCGACCUAUCGGCGUUAUUCGAACCUGAUCAAAAGCCGUUCUCAAGGAAAGUGUUUAGUAUGCACUCCGACAUUUAACGGUUGCUGGGAGGUGACUGAAAUAUAAUUUUUAAAAAAGGCAAAACCAGCUGCACAACAAUAUCAAGCGGAAGGAGAUGACACGCAGAAGAAGUAGAACAACAACAACGACAACGACAACAACAACAGCAACAGCAACAACAUUAGAAAGGAGCUCAUAUAAUACGAAGGGACGAGGAUAAUCAACGCACACUAAGCACUUUGGCAACUGCUCGCCAAAAGUGUCGUCUCUUAAUAAAUGUAAAUGUGGCCAAGUAUGAGCAAUUAUAGAAUGGUAAUUUACAUUAAAAUUUGAUGUAC